AUGGCCGGAGGGUCCGUCGCUCGUCUUCAAUAUAAAGGGCGGGAGGAAAGUCCGGGCAACACAGAGCACCAUAUUUCCUAACGGGAAGCUAUCGGUAACGGUAGAGUAAUGUGACAGAAAAUAACCGCCCCCGCCUGCGGGGGUAAGGGUGAAAAGGUGAGGUAAGAGCUCACCGGGCGCCACAGCGAUAUGGCGUGCCGCACAUCUUAUGGGUUGCAAGGUCAAGUAUACCGGCAUUCAAGGGCUGCUCG
rnacentral:RNase_P_RNA from 1 species